CUGUCACACGCGAUUAUCCUUUCCGGAUUUCUAACGUGGCGUCAUAAAUUUUUUGUGUGAUAUUACAUUAUCAUCUGUGCGCAUUUGCAUCAUUUGGAUUCAAGGCUAAAAUCAAAGUAUCGUGUGUUAUCUUUCCAGAUUGACUGUGAAAAGAAGAACCAUAGCCGAAGACUAUAGUCAAUCUCGACGUUGUGACCGCUUUAGAUUUAAGGUCGAUCCGGAUCUGCAUAAAUGUGAGCACCGACUCAACCGCUAUUCAUUUAUAAGCUCCAGUGAGAAGUUGCGACCACCGCGUCAGUCGAAGUUAAUAACGCAAGGAAAAGGAAAUCACGCGAUUGAGCUGCUCGAUAAUCUAACAGCAACGACCAGAGCAUGGCUGACGAAGGAUCUGACACACCUAGAAGGGAUGAUAUCCGAGGGGACAGCAACGCCGACAGCAAAGUACCUGAUGAAACCGAAGGCGAUGAUACUGAUAAAACUCCGAUUACGAUAACCACUACGAAAAAUGCUUUAAUAACGACGCAGCUGGGACCGUGCGAUGUCUAUCCGCAUUCUGUCAAAAUUUCGAUCGUGGGUACAAGAAAAGUUGGAAUGGCUUGUGCUAUCGCAAUUCUGAUGAGACGGAUAGCGAGUGAAGUCUGUUUGAUCGAUCAAAAUUCAGACAAAGCUUCUGCCGAAGCCGAGGACAUUCAGCACGCUGGUAUUUUUCUGGGAUGCCCUCUGGUAGUUGGCACAUCAGAUAUCUACAAGGUAAAAGAUUCGACGGUAGUAAUAAUUGCGGUUUGUGAAAAGAAACUUGAAGAGGAGAUCAAUGUCAAGCAUAACAUCGAGGUAUUCAAGAAGAUCGUGCCUACAAUUGCAAAGUUGGCUUGCAAGGCAGUGUUACUAGUUGUAACUCAACCGAUCGACGUGAUGUCGUACAUCACUUGGAAGUUGUCCAAGUUUCCUUCAAGCAGAGUGCUUGGCACAGGGACUCUGCUUGAUAGCUGCAGGUUUCAGGAUUUACUGAGUCGGAAGUUGGGACUGGCGCGAACGUCAAUCAAUUGCAUGAGUAUCGGCGCACAGGGCGACACAUCUGUUUCCAUAUGGUCGAGCGUUCACGUGGCAGGAACGAAGAUACGAGACAUAAACCAACGAAUAGGGGAGGCGGAUGAUCCCGAGAAGUGGCAUGACAUUUCUGAAGCUGUAAAUAAAACCGACACGGAGCUUAAUCGGAAGAAGGGCGAGGGAGGACCGAACUCCUGGGCUCUGGGCUUCUGCACUACUGAGAUCGUCGAUGCCAUCGUCAGGAAUACUAAAGUCGUAUUGCCAGUGUCGACGUACAUACACAGUUGUGCCCACGGGACCGAUAAAGACGUGUACAUGUCGGUACCCUGUGUUCUCGGUCGGGAAGGUGUGUACGCCACGGUGCGACAGAAGCUGAACGAUCAGGAAAAGACGGCGGUACAACAGUGCGCCGACAGCAUCCGCAAUGUGUUACGUGAGUGUGGCAUUCUUCGCGAAUCGAGCGACAUUGAAGAGUGACGACCGGUAGACCGAGGAAAAGAGGAGAGCGAGAAACGUGAAGGACUUGCGAACGGAUGCGAACGGAUGCGAACGGAUACAUGGCGCGGAAAUAGCGAGAAAGAGGAAAGGGAGUGGAGAGAAGGAACGACGUUUUAGAAUGCAUCUUCAUCAAUAAGGGCAAUACUGCACCUGGAACGCAGCGCAUCCCACCUGUGUGGCUUCGUAGCACAGCUGUCGAUCAAUUUUACGACCUUCUAUCCGCAGAAAAACGAAAAUCAUAGGAACGAUACGUCCAAUUGGCGAUUCGUCUCUACAUCUGCCCCGAGCAUUUACCUUUUUGUAUAACGAGCAUUCUUUCCGAUUAUAAUUGAUUAUGUACGGUACGAUUGAAUUUAUCGAUAGCAUCUUUUCAUCUGUGAUCGAACGUGUUAAUCGGAUUGUAUAUCUCCCGCUACAAGAUAACUUGAGGUUCACAUCUCGUACAUAUAGUACAUUAUGAACGUACGAGAUAUGUAUGUUGAACACGAAAGGCAGAGAGAGUUCUCUCACGUUCGAUCGUACAGAACCAAUAUAAUCACCUUAUUGCA